rnacentral:lncRNA from 1 species
CACGUCACUGGCGGUACAGUUCCUGGAGCUGGGCAGUCUUCUCAGAGUGGAACCUGGUAAUGGCGACCUCUCGGCUAGUUCUUGUGUGUUGCGGGCUGGAAAGGGGUAGCUGAUAAACUCCCACCCAGCACAGUAUUUAUGUCGGUCAAAAAUAGAAAAGAAUGUCCGGGCGCGGCCGGGGUGGGAGGAUCCCUUCAGGCCGAGAGCAGCCUAGCAAUAUGGCGCAACCCCAUCUCUGUAGUCCAACCUCAGCCUCCCACCUACUUGAACACCAACGUUCAAAGCUCCAGUGAGCUAUGAUCCCACCACAGCACUCCUGCCUGCGAGACUGAGAUGAUGAUUAUUCUCCAUCUUCUAAGAGACCAAAGACCAACGAGCCACCAGUUCCAGAACCUGCCAAUGUUGGGCAACAGAAAGUGAGGGAGUUCAACUCUGAUCUUUGUCUCCUUGGAGGCCCUCACAAUCCAGUGGAGGAAGUGAAACUCAUCUGCCUCUGUCCCUCUGGGUGCGCCUCAUGCCAGGUGCAUCUGUGGACAUGCGCCAUGCUACUGGGCUUCCAAAGUUGGAGAAAGUUGCCAGGCUCAGUUUUCAGAGAAAUGGAAUAAUCAUAUCGCUGAUCUAUGUAAAUAAGUUGAAGAAUUGUCUGAAAGAAAAUACGGUAUGUUUAAAUUGGAAAAGUCCUGUGAUACUUUGUUCAUAAGCAUUUACACAAUGGAGUUAUUGUUUAUCAUGGGGGUACUGUGGACAAGCCCAGGGCUCCUGGUGAAUCCUGCCAUCCUUACACGUCUCUCCUUGUAAGUUGCUUUGUAGUUUCUGUCUAAAUAUUAGAAACAUUCUUUGUUUCUAGAUUACUGCAAAGCUGAGCAAAAGUUGUAUUUCUUUAAUUGUCGUUAGCAUUUCUUUUAAACUUUCAGCAUGGAUAUUGGGG